rnacentral:lncRNA from 1 species
GCAUCGGAGUCGACUCGAAUUCUUCAGGAGUCAACUCGGUGAUAGGGUCUGAGAUUCAUCUUUCUGUCCUGCUGUCUGUUCUCAGUCGGAGUCGACUCGCAGUGUGCCGGAGUCGACUCAAGCCUGUGCCAGAACAUCUGAAAUACUUGGAGUCGACUCGUAAUCCUCCGGAGUCGACUCGAGUUUCAGCCUUUGACAUAAGCUGAUUUCCACAUGCACUC